CCUGAUCCUGACCAUUCCCUGAUCCUCCUCCCCUUCCACCUAUUGUCUCUGCUCAGACUUCCUUCCUGUCCUCCAGCCCCGCCGCCCCCACAUCCUGCCUGCCCUGGUCAGGCUGCCCAGCGCCCCGGCCAGUUCUAGCAUGCGGGGUCCUGGGCAGGGCUGGGGUGGCAAGAACUGGGCCCGGGCGGGUGGGCUCCGGGGUCCUCCAGCAGCACACGCACACGCCCACUGCGGGGGCUCCGCUGCGUGGGGAGACACUCCGCCACCCCUCUCCAGGUCCUUCUGAAGUCCAGCCCCAGCCCCUCAGGGCGACUCUGCCUCCCGCUUCUCCCUGCUCCCGCUUCCCCUGAGGGCUCUCUACCCUGUCUCCCCUGCCUGCAUCCCACCCGCCGCCUCUACACGCGUCUCUGUGCGCUCCCUGGCGAAGCCUCUGCGCCUGGGUCUCCAAACUCAUCCAUCUUCCGUGCGUCUACGUCUCAAGCCCGCCUUGCGGUGACCCCCCACCGCUCUGCCAGAGUCCGCUUCUCUCCCCGGGGCUCCUGACCACGGGUCCCGCCGCCAACCAUCUGGCCUCUCUUCCGCUGGGCCCCAAGCCCCAGAUCAGACCGGGGUGUCGCACCUCCUACCCUGACUCAAAACCUAGUGGUCGGGGAAGGUGCGCCAGGCGACAUCGCUUCUCCCAAACCCGGGUUCCAGGCUGCCUUUUUUGAGGACGAAACCGGUGCGCCAGAGAUUCUCCCAUGCAGAGACGGAUGUUUGUGGAUGGACCUGAACCUGGAUGAUGCUUAUUGGAAGUGAGGACAGAGCCAGAGAGACACUACAAUGGGGCAGGCUCUUGCUCACAUGCAGCCGAACUCUCAGCACACAGGCCGUGGAUUAGAAGGCUUCCUGGAGGAGGCUGAUUUGAAAUCCUUGAAAUUUUCAUGACUCUCGAAGAGUGUGUCAGUGUGCCAAGAACAGAUGUCUGGAUCAAGAAGCUGUGGUAUAUCUACACAACGGAAUACUACUCGGCGGUUAGGAAAGACGAAGUCAUGCAGUUUGCUGAUAGGUGGAUGGAUCUGGAAAGUAUUGUGCUCAGUGAAAUGAGGCAGAGGGAGAUGGCCAGACACUGAAUGAUCUCGCACAUAUGCGGGAUAUAAAGAAACAUAGUAGGGGAAUAAUUAAAGUCCAAAGGCAAUAGAAAUGAAGAGAAAGAGAACUAGGCCCUAGUAGAAAGUUUGGCAUUGUUCUGCCUCUCACCUCUGUCUCUGGCUGUGGGAUUGGUCAUCAAGCAUCCUGCAAAAAAGAGCCCAUUCUUUCAGCCAUCACUGUCCAUGUAUCCAACACUACGUAUGCAGUAUUUCUGUUUUGGUUUGUGCGGUUAGAGGGGAGGGGAUGGGUCAGGGAAUGGACCACUACGACAGAGAUGAAGGGAAGUGGUCACUCUUAGGGACGAGGACUGGGUAGUAAAAGGAGGUAAAGAGCUGUGCAUGCUACCCUCUCAGUAACAGUAUUGCAGACCACAGUGCCUAAUAAGGAAGAAGUAAGAAGUGCCUGUCAGAGAGACUGACUAGGGGUGGUUGGGAAGGAAACGGGGGACAUUGGUAGAGGGAAGUGGACACUGGUGAAGGGAUGGUCUUGGAACAUUGUGUACCUGAAACCCACUCAUGAAUAACUUUAUAAUUCAAGGUGAUUCAAUUAAAAAAAAUUGGUGAUUCAAUUAAAGAAAAGAGUUUAAAAAAUGAUUUGGACAUACCACCGCAAUGAGCAUGCAUGUUGUAUUGUACUAUGAUGAAUCCAUAAUAAUUGAAUAAGAUUAUAUGAACUGGGGAAAAAAACAUCUGGAGAUCCCAGGCUGGUCUCAGGUACUGCUCACAGAGCUCCCUGCAGGAAAACUGGGCCGAGUCUAAUGCCCGUUCGCUUUCUGUUUUGGCAUGGGAGCCACACCCUUGGAACUCAGGGGAUCCUUCUUGGCUCUGUGCUCAGGGGUCAUGUCUGACAGUCCUGGGGUCAAACCCCAGUGGGCUGCAUGCAGGGCAGGCGCUGUACCCUGUCCCUAUUUCUCCCACCCCUCUAACUCUGAACUGGAGCGGACAGAACCAUCCCAAUCCCCGAAGUGUCCCCUCCCCCUUUCAGCUGAGAAAUGGGGCGUACAUCUCCCCUCCAGGGACCGAGACACCCCAUUCGCCUGGCUCAACCAGCUGCCGCCUGCCACUGGCUCUAACGCCCUUUGCAUUUCUGCACCAGCCAACAUCCUUAUUUGAUUUGGGAUGGGCUGACACCGUGAGACAACAGUUGCAGAUGAAAUUUCACACGUUAUCUGGGAAUGUGGAGAUUACAGAUAAGCACACGUUGCAACUUGCUUUAUUUUUUAAAAACAAGAUUCCUCCCUUACAAAGUGGUACUCCACCUUCCAGUUCCCACUUCGAAACUGUU